rnacentral:rRNA from 1 species
GACGAACGCUGGCGGCGUGCCUAAUACAUGCAAGUAGAACGCUGAAGGAGGAGCUUGCUCUUCUGGAUGAGUUGCGAACGGGUGAGUAACGCGUAGGUAACCUGCCUGGUAGCGGGGGAUAACUAUUGGAAACGAUAGCUAAUACCGCAUAAUAGUAGAUGUUGCAUGAUAUUUACUUAAAAGGUGCAAUUGCACCACUACCAGAUGGACCUGCGUUGUAUUAGCUAGUUGGUGGGGUAACGGCUCACCAAGGCGACGAUACAUAGCCGACCUGAGAGGGUGAUCGGCCAAACUGGGACUGAGACACGGCCCAGACUCCUACGGGAGGCAGCAGUAGGGAAUCUUCGGCAAUAGACGAAAGUCUGACCGAGCAACGCCGCGUGAGUGAAGAAGGUUGUCGGAUCGUAAAGCUCUGUUGUAAGAGAAGAACGAGUGUGAGAGUGGAAAGUUCACACUGUGACGGUAUCUUACCAGAAAGGGACGGCUAACUACGUG